rnacentral:rRNA from 1 species
CCUACGGGUGGCUGCAGUGGGGAAUAUUGGACAAUGGGGGCAACCCUGAUCCAGCCAUGCCGCGUGUGUGAAGAAGGCCCUCGGGUUGUAAAGCACUUUCAGUGAGGAAGAACGCCUGGUGGUUAAUACCCAUCAGGAAAGACAUCACUCACAGAAGAAGCACCGGCUAACUCCGUGCCAGCAGCCGCGGUAAUACGGAGGGUGCGAGCGUUAAUCGGAAUUACUGGGCGUAAAGCGCGCGUAGGUGGCUUGAUAAGCCGGUUGUGAAAGCCCCGGGCUCAACCUGGGAACGGCAUCCGGAACUGUCAAGCUAGAGUGCAGGAGAGGAAGGUAGAAUUCCCGGUGUAGCGGUGAAAUGCGUAGCGAUCGGGAGGAAUACCAGUGGCGAAGGCGGCCUUCUGGAAUGACACUGACACUGAGGUGCGAAAGCGUGGGUAGCAAACAGGAUUAGAUACCCCGGUAGUC